UACGUAGAUGGCGAGCGUUAUCCGGAAUGACUGGGCGUAAAGGGUGCGUAGGCGGUUUUGUAAGUCAGAUGUGAAAAUCCCGAGCUUAACUUGGGAACUGCAUUUGAAACUAUGAAACUUGAGUGCAGGAGAGGAAAGCGGAAUUCCUAGUGUAGCGGUGAAAUGCGUAGAUAUUAGGAGGAACACCAGUGGCGAAGGCGGCUUUCUGGACUGUAACUGACGCUGAGGCACGAAAGCAUGGGGAGCAAACAGG
rnacentral:rRNA from 1 species